rnacentral:hammerhead_ribozyme from 1 species
GAACUGCUGAGGAGUUCCAUAAUAGGACGAAACAGCUGUCCAGUGC